AUUGAACGCUGGCGGCAUGCUUUACACAUGCAAGUCGAACGGCAGCGCGGGCUUCGGCCUGGCGGCGAGUGGCGAACGGGUGAGUAAUACAUCGGAACGUGCCCAGUAGUGGGGGAUAGCUCGGCGAAAGCCGGAUUAAUACCGCAUACGACCUGAGGGUGAAAGCGGGGGAUCUUCGGACCUCGCGCUAUUGGAGCGGCCGAUGGCAGAUUAGCUAGUUGGUGGGGUAAAGGCCUACCAAGGCGACGAUCUGUAGCUGGUCUGAGAGGACGACCAGCCACACUGGGACUGAGACACGGCCCAGACUCCUACGGGAGGCAGCAGUGGGGAAUUUUGGACAAUGGGCGAAAGCCUGAUCCAGCAAUGCCGCGUGUGUGAUGAAGGCCUUCGGGUUGUAAAGCACUUUUGGCGGGGACGAAAAGGACUGUGCCAAUACCACGGUUCGACGACGGUACCCGCAGAAUAAGCACCGGCUAACUACGU
rnacentral:rRNA from 1 species